UACAGAGACCUCAAGCGUUAUCCGGAAUCAUUGGGCGUAAAGCGUACCGAUAGGUGGUCUAAAAAGUCAAAAGUGAAAUCUCAAGGCUCAACUUUGAGACUGUCUUUUGAAACUUUUAGACUUGAGGGGCAAAGAGGAAGCUGGAACGAACGGUGUAGUAGUGAAAUGCGUAGAGAUGUGGAGGAACACCAGUGGCGAAGGCGACUCUUUGGUCUGUAACUGACGCUGAGGCGCGAAAGCGUGGGGAGCAAACAGG
rnacentral:rRNA from 1 species